UACGUAGGCAGCGAGCGUUGUUCGGAGUUACUGGGCGUAAAGGGUGCGUAGGCGGUUGUUUAAGUUUGGUGUGAAAUCUCCCGGCUCAACUGGAAGGGUGCGCCGAAUACUGAAUGACUAGAGUGCGGGAGAGGAGAGUGGAAUUCCUGGUGUAGCGGUGAAAUGCGUAGAUAUCAGGAGGAACACCGGUGGUGUAGACGGCUCUCUGGACCGUAACUGACGCUGAGGCACGAAAGCGUGGGUAGCAAACAGG
rnacentral:rRNA from 1 species